rnacentral:rRNA from 1 species
CCUACGGGUGGCAGCAGUGGGGAAUAUUGCGCAAUGGGCGAAAGCCUGACGCAGCGACGCCGCGUGAGGGAUGAAGGUCUUCUGAUCGGUAACCUCUUUCAGCAGGGAAGAACGGUCACUGUGCUAUUCAGCAGUGAAUUGACUGUACCUGCAAAGGAAGCACCGGCUAACUCCGUGCCAGCAGCCGCGGUAAUACGGAGGGUGCUAGCGUUAAUCGGAAUUACUGGGCGUAAAGCGCUCGUAGGCGGUAUGUCAAGUCAAGGAUGAAAUGCCCGCGCUCAACGUGGGAACUGCCUUUGAAACUGGCGAACUGGAGAGUGUGAGCGGAUAGUGGAAUUCCAGGUGUAGCAGUGAAAUGCGUAGAGAUCUGGAGGAACAUCAGUGGCGAAGGCGACUAUCUGGCACAUAACUGACGCUGAGGAGCGAAAGCGUGGGGAGCAAACAGGAUUAGAUACCCUUGUAGUC